rnacentral:rRNA from 1 species
AUACGGAGGAUCCGAGCGUUAUCCGGAUUUAUUGGGUUUAAAGGGAGCGUAGGCGGACGCUUAAGUCAGUUGUGAAAGUUUGCGGCUCAACCGUAAAAUUGCAGUCGAUACUGGGUGUCUUGAGUACAGUAGAGGCAGGCGGAAUUCGUGGGGUAGCGGUGAAAUGCUUAGAUAUCACGAAGAACUCCGAUUGCGAAGGCAGCCUGCUGGACUGUAACUGACGCUGAUGCUCGAAAGUGUGGGUAUCAAACAGGAUUAGAUACCCUGGUAGUCCACACAGUAAACGAUGAAUACUCGCUGUUUGCGAUAUACAGUAAGCGGCCAAGCGAAAGCGUUAAGUAUUCCACCUGGGGAGUACGCCGGCAACGGUGAAACUCAAAUGAAUUGACGGGG